rnacentral:tRNA from 1 species
UGCGGGGUAGAGCAGCCUGGUCGCUCGUCGGGCUCAUAACCCGGAGGUCGUAGGUUCAAAUCCUACCCCCGCUA